UACGGAGGAUGCAAGCGUUAUCCGGAAUCAUUGGGCGUAAAGCGUCCGCAGGUGGCAGUUCAAGUCUGCUGUCAAAGACUGGGGCUUAACCCUAGAAAGGCAGUGGAAACUGAACAGCUAGAGUGCGGUAGGGGUAGAGGGAAUUCCCGGUGUAGCGGUGAAAUGCGUAGAGAUCGGGAAGAAUACCAGUGGCGAAAGCGCUCUGCUGGACCUGCACUGACACUGAGGGACGAAAGCUAGGGGAGCGAAUGGG
rnacentral:rRNA from 1 species